UUGAACGCUGGCGGCAUGCCUUACACAUGCAAGUCGAACGGCAGCAUGAUCUAGCUUGCUAGAUUGAUGGCGAGUGGCGAACGGGUGAGUAAUACAUCGGAACGUGCCCUGUAGUGGGGGAUAACUAGUCGAAAGAUUAGCUAAUACCGCAUACGACCUGAGGGUGAAAGUGGGGGACCGCAAGGCCUCAUGCUAUAGGAGCGGCCGAUGUCUGAUUAGCUAGUUGGUGAGGUAAAGGCUCACCAAGGCGACGAUCAGUAGCUGGUCUGAGAGGACGAUCAGCCACACUGGGACUGAGACACGGCCCAGACUCCUACGGGAGGCAGCAGUGGGGAAUUUUGGACAAUGGGCGAAAGCCUGAUCCAGCAAUGCCGCGUGUGUGAAGAAGGCCUUCGGGUUGUAAAGCACUUUUGUCCGGAAAGAAAUGGCUCUGGUUAAUACCUGGGGUCGAUGACGGUACCGGAAGAAUAAGGACCGGCUAACUACGUG
rnacentral:rRNA from 1 species